AGAGUUUGAUCCUGGCUCAGGAUGAACGCUGGCGGCGUGCCUAACACAUGCAAGUCGAACGGGUUAAGCCACCUUCGGGUGGGAGUACAGUGGCGAACGGGUGAGUAACACGUGACCAACCUGCCCCUUGCUCCGGGACAACCUCGGGAAACCGAGGCUAGUACCGGAUGCUCCGGCCCCUCCGCAUGGAGGGGCCGGGAAAGCCUGGCGCGGCAAGGGAUGGGGUCGCGGCCCAUCAGGUAGACGGCGGGGUAGCGGCCCACCGUGCUUUCGACGGGUAGCCGGGUUGAGAGACCGACCGGCCACAUUGGGACUGAGAUACGGCCCAGACUCCUACGGGAGGCAGCAGUGGGGAAUUUUGCGCAAUGGGGGCAACCCUGACGCAGCAACGCCGCGUGCGGGAUGACGGCCUUCGGGUUGUAAACCGCUUUCAGCAGGGAAGACCGACGACGGUACCUGCAGAAGAAGCCCCGGCUAACUACGUGCCAGCAGCCGCGGUAAUACGUAGGGGGCGAGCGUUAUCCGGAUUCAUUGGGCGUAAAGCGCGCGUAGGCGGCGCGCCAAGCGGAACCUCUAACCUCGGGGCUCAACCUCGAGCCGGGUUCCGAACUGGCGCGCUCGAGUUCGGUAGAGGCAGGCGGAAUUCCCGGUGUAGCGGUGGAAUGCGCAGAUAUCGGGAAGAACACCGAUGGCGAAGGCAGCCUGCUGGGCCGACACUGACGCUGAGGUGCGAAAGCUAGUGGAGCGAACAGGAUUAGAUACCCUGGUAGUCCUAGCCGUAAACGAUGGACGCUAGGUGUGGGGAGGAUCGCCUCUCCGUGCCGAAGCCAACGCAUUAAGCGUCCCGCCUGGGGAGUACGGCCGCAAGGCUAAAACUCAAAGGAAUUGACGG
rnacentral:rRNA from 1 species